UUGAAUAAACUUGGUUAGGUUGUUGCUGGCUCUCAGGAGCAUGUGCACGCCGACUCCAUUUUCAACCACCUGUGCACCUUGCAUAGAUCUGAACACUUCGAGGAAACUCGGUUUGAGAAUUGUUGUGCGCGAGCCAGCUAUUCUUAUUUUCAGAGCUAUGUUCUUACAUACCCUAUAUGAAUGUAUUUGAAUAUUCAGAAUUGGCCUUGUGCCUUUAAACAAAUA
rnacentral:misc_RNA from 1 species